rnacentral:rRNA from 1 species
UACGUAGGUGGCAAGCGUUGUCCGGAUUUACUGGGCGUAAAGGGCGUGCAGGCGGUUUGUUAAGUCUAGGGUGAAAGCUCCCGGCUCAACCGGGAGGGUGCGCCGAAUACUGAGGGACUAGAGUGCGGGAGAGGAAAGUGGAAUUCCUGGUGUAGCGGUGAAAUGCGUAGAUAUCAGGAGGAACACCGGUGGUGUAGACGGCUUUCUGGACCGUAACUGACGCUGAGACACGAAAGCGUGGGUAGCAAACAGG